rnacentral:rRNA from 1 species
GGCGGCAUGCUUAAACAUGCAAGUCGCACGAAGGCUUCGGCCUUAGUGGCGGACGGGUGAGUAACGCGUAGGAAUCUAUCCAUGGGUGGGGGAUAACUCCGGGAAACUGGAGCUAAUACCGCAUGAUACCUGAGGGUCAAAGGCGCAAGUCGCCUGUGGAGGAGCCUGCGUUUGAUUAGCUUGUUGGUGGGGUAAUGGCCUACCAAGGCGAUGAUCAAUAGCUGGUCUGAGAGGAUGAUCAGCCACACUGGGACUGAGACACGGCCCAGACUCCUACGGGAGGCAGCAGUGGGGAAUAUUGGACAAUGGGGGCAACCCUGAUCCAGCAAUGCCGCGUGUGUGAAGAAGGUUUUCGGAUUGUAAAGCACUUUCGGCGGGGACGAUGAUGACGGUACCCGCAGAAGAAGCCCCGGCUAACUUCGUGCCAGCAGCCGGGUUAAUA